CUAUAAAGUUCUGAAUGGCCACACCGCACCCAAUCUUAAAGAAGCAUUUCAUUUUAAUAAUGAAAGACAUAAUAGUUACAAUCUUAGAAAUUCGGAUACUGAUUUAGCACCACCUAUGCCGAAAAAAGAAUUCGGCAAGAGGUGCUUCAGGUGCCUUGCAUUGGAAUAAUCUUCCCCAUGAGGCAAAAAUUGCUGAAUCCCUAAACUCUUUCAAGUCGAUAUUGAAACAAAGAAUGAGUUGAAAUUUGCUUGUGUAUAAUCGUGCAGCUAAAAUCAAUUGUAUUUAUUUAUUUUGUUAUAUUUUGUAUUUCAUGUACAUAGUUAACUUUUUGUAAAUAGGUAAUUUCACGCCCCUCAUGGAAACCAGCCUUCCAACGGCUGUUGAGGCUAGCGUGGUCUAAAUAAAGUUUUGUAUGUAUGUAUGUAUGU
rnacentral:lncRNA from 1 species